GCCAAUGUAGCUCAGGUGGCAGAGCAGCUCACUCGUAAUGAGCAGGUCUACGGUUCGAAUCCGUACAUUGGCUCCA
rnacentral:tRNA from 4 species